UACGGAGGAUGCAAGCGUUAUCCGGAAUGAUUGGGCGUAAAGCGUCCGCAGGUGGCAAUGUAAGUCUGCUGUCAAAGCGUCUGGCUCAACCAGAUAAAGGCAGUGGAAACUACAUAGCUAGAGUAAGGUAGGGGUAGAGGGAAUUCCUGGUGUAGCGGUGAAAUGCGUAGAGAUCAGGAAGAACACCGGUGGCGAAAGCGCUCUGCUGGACCUUAACUGACACUGAGGGACGAAAGCUAGGGGAGCGAGUGGG
rnacentral:rRNA from 1 species